rnacentral:miRNA from 1 species
CUUCCGGUCGACGAGGUACAAGUACCUCGUCCACUGGAAGGGUGUAAGUACCUACUGGAAGGACACCCUUCCGGUCGACAAGGUACAAGUACCUCGUCGACUGGAAG